CAAACCCCUACUUCUCUUUUUCAAGACCACGCACAGCAAAAGAAACCCCACAUCUCUUUGGGUCGACGGCAGACGAUACCCCCUCCCCCUUCGAGUUAGCAGCCUCUUUUCCGGAUCAAAACGCGUGGACUUGAUUGCUCAACUGUUAAACAAAGUAACUAGUCUUACCGAGCAAAACCAAGGUCGUUAGAUUAUAUGGAUUUGGAACUUGCUGUCUGAAGUAGCUGGAGUGGUCAUGGGUCGUGCUGAUUGGAUACGAAUGCUGAGUUUAUUGAUUACAUACAUUUAAUUUGAAACAAUUAAACUAUGAUUUUUUUUAUUUUAUUUGCUUCCGCUGAACAUGUUGGUUUUCAUUCAAACUUAGUGACGGUGAUUUUCAGUAAUAAAUGAUGAUUUUAUUUAACACUCGUGAUUGGUUCAGUAUGAUUAGUGGCUCGUUAUUGGUUUGUCACGCGCCUAACAGGGACACUCCCGACGUGGUAAUUUUGGGGUGUGACAUAAUAGAACUCUAGUGUUUGGAUCUGAGUUUCUUUUAAUU